rnacentral:tRNA from 1 species
GGGUCGUUAGCUCAGUCGGUAGAGCAGUUGACUUUUAAUCAAUUGGUCGCUGGUUCGAAUCCAGCACGACCCUCCA